GUCUACGUCUGUGCUACCCUGAACAAGCCCGAUCCUGUCUGACCUUGGAAGCUAAGCAGGGUUAGGCCUGGUUAGUACUUGGAUGGGAGACCACCUAGGAAGACCAGGUGCUGUAGGUG
rnacentral:rRNA from 1 species